UCCUUUCAUAAAGUGCCUUAGCAUGGAAAUAAGAAUGGUUCUUGAAUAAAUAUAUGAGGUGAUUCUCCUCCCCUUAGCAAUAGUUACUUGAUGAACCUCUAACUUCUUCUCAAAAUCUUCUAAUAUCAAGUCAAUACAAUGGGCAGCACAUGGUGUCCAAAACAAACUCUUUCUUUUUCCCAUUAAUAAUUGUCCCGCUGCCUUAUAAUUUGUAGCAUUAUCGGUGACUACUUGGACAACAUUUUCCUCCCCAAUCCUCUCCACAAUGGCAUCUAACAUCUCAAAUACCUUAUCAGCAGUCUUGGACAUAUUAGAAGUAUCCACCGAUGAUAAAAAAA
rnacentral:lncRNA from 1 species